rnacentral:rRNA from 1 species
AUACGUAGGGUGCGAGCGUUGUCCGGAAUUACUGGGCGUAAAGAGCUCGUAGGUGGUUUGUCGCGUCGUCUGUGAAAUUCCGGGGCUUAACUCCGGGCGUGCAGGCGAUACGGGCAUAACUUGAGUACUGUAGGGGAGACUGGAAUUCCUGGUGUAGCGGUGAAAUGCGCAGAUAUCAGGAGGAACACCGGUGGCGAAGGCGGGUCUCUGGGCGGUAACUGACGCUGAGGAGCGAAAGCUUGGGUAGCGAACAGGAUUAGAUACCCUGGUAGUCCUUGCCGUAAACGGUGGGCGCUAGGUGUAGGGGUCUUCCACGACUUCUGUGCCGUAGCUAACGCAUUAAGCGCCCCGCCUGGGGAGUACGGCCGCAAGGCUAAAACUUAAAGGAAUUGACGGGG